rnacentral:rRNA from 1 species
ACGGGUGAGUAACGCGUGGGUAACCUGCCUCAUACAGGGGGAUAACAGUUAGAAAUGACUGCUAAUACCGCAUAAGCGCACAGUGCUGCAUGGCACAGUGUGAAAAACUCCGGUGGUAUGAGAUGGACCCGCGUCUGAUUAGCUAGUUGGUGGGGUAACGGCCUACCAAGGCGACGAUCAGUAGCCGGCCUGAGGGGGUGAACGGCCACAUUGGGACUGAGACACGGCCCAAACUCCUACGGGAGGCAGCAUG